GCAUGGGUUUGGAUUCAUGGCAGGCCUGUUGCCCUGGGCCUGUCAUGGUGUCCCGUGCUAGAGCAACUUGUGGCCCCGAACCAUUGCCUGGCCUCUGCCUGUAUACUCUUCCAAAGAUUGUCUUAGAUUU
rnacentral:snoRNA from 1 species